GCAGUCGUGGCCGAGUGGUUAAGGCGAUAGACUAGAAAUCCAUUGGGGUCUCCCCGCACAGGUUCGAAUCCUGUCAACUGCG
rnacentral:tRNA from 1 species